rnacentral:rRNA from 1 species
AACGAACGCUGGCGGCAGGCUUAACACAUGCAAGUCGAGCGAGACCUUCGGGUCUAGCGGCGGACGGGUGAGUAACGCGUGGGAACGUGCCCUUCUCUACGGAAUAGCCCCGGGAAACUGGGAGUAAUACCGUAUACGCCCUUUGGGGGAAAGAUUUAUCGGAGAAGGAUCGGCCCGCGUUGGAUUAGGUAGUUGGUGGGGUAAUGGCCCACCAAGCCGACGAUCCAUAGCUGGUUUGAGAGGAUGAUCAGCCACACUGGGACUGAGACACGGCCCAGACUCCUACGGGAGGCAGCAGUGGGGAAUCUUAGACAAUGGGGGCAACCCUGAUCUAGCCAUGCCGCGUGAGUGAUGAAGGCCUUAGGGUUGUAAAGCUCUUUCAGCUGGGAAGAUAAAUGACGGACCAAGCAGAGA